rnacentral:rRNA from 1 species
GACGAACGCUGGCGGCGUGCUUAACACAUGCAAGUCGAACGCUGAUCCAUCUUCGGGUGGGAUGAGUGGCGAACGGGUGAGUAACACGUGGAUAACCUGUCCUUAGCUCUGGGAUAAGCCUUGGAAACGGGGUCUAAUACCGGAUAUGACCUGUCAUCGCAUGGUGGUGGGUGGAAAGUUGUGGCGGCUAGGGGUGGGUCCGCGGCCUAUCAGCUUGUUGGUGGGGUGAUGGCCUACCAAGGCGACGACGGGUAGCCGGCCUGAGAGGGUGUCCGGCCACACUGGGACUGAGACACGGCCCAGACUCCUACGGGAGGCAGCAGUGGGGAAUAUUGCACAAUGGGCGGAAGCCUGAUGCAGCGACGCCGCGUGAGGGAUGACGGCCUUCGGGUUGUAAACCUCUUUCGCCAGGGACGAAGCGAGAGUGACGGUACCUGGAGAAGAAGCACCGGCUAACUACGUGCCAGCCGCCGCCGUAACAC